rnacentral:rRNA from 1 species
CACCUGGUGGAUGACUAGGCUCGGUUGCCGAAGAAGGUCGUGCCAAGCAGCGAUAUGCUUCGGGGAGGCGCAUGGAGCCUUUGAUCCGAAGAUAACCGAAUGGGACUUCCUGAACUCUAGUAGUUCAAUCCGUAAGGAUGGGAAACGCCCCGAAUUGAAACAUCUUAGUAGGGGCAGGAAAAGAAAUCAAAUGAGAUGGGGUUAGUAAAGGCGAUCGAACACCCCAUAGGGCAAUCCGAAUCCUCUGGUGAGAACCUGAGGAAAUGUGGAGUGGUCUGUUUACAUCUUAACACUGUUAUCCGAAUUUCGUGUGGAACACCGGCGCCAUAGAGGGUGAUAGCCCCGUAGGAGAAGCGGUGAAAGAUGAUUUUCAGAAUCCAAGAGUAGCGUGCAUUGGAUAUUGCGCGUGAAUACGGGAGGUACUAACUCCCAACCCUAAAUACAAACCGAGACCGAUAGCGCAAUAGUAGCGUGAGCGAAAGUUGUAAAGUAUCCCUGGCGGGAACUGGUAUGGCGUGCAAGGGAUGAAGCGGUUACACCGCCGCACCGACGUCAUGCCGUUCGAUUCGAAAAUUGAUCCGUGGAGUUCCUAUCAUUGGCGAGGUUAAGUACGCAGGUACGAAGCCGUAGGGAAACCGAUAGCCCGCAGCGCAAGCGAGGGGCAAGGUGCGCUCGCCUGGAGUCAAUGGUUGGAUACCCGAAGCCGGUCGAUCUAUGCCUGGGCAGGGUGAAGCCUUUCGGAAGAAGGGUGGAGGCCCGAACCAGUACUGAUGUGCAAAUCGUUUGGAUGACCUGGGUAUAGGGGCGAAAGACCAAUCUAGACCGGU